AUGGCAUAUUCUGGGCACUUUACCUCAACAUUGAUUGUUGGUUUUCUGACUGGUUGUGUCUGUUUUCUGUUCACAUCUCAUGAAAAUUAUAUAUCAAUCUAACUGGGGGGGAGAUCGAGAUGACCGGAGACACGACCAAACCAAGACCAGAUGCAAUCAGGUUUUAAUGAUAAAGAUACUGAGGAACCUCUGAGCUCCGGCGUCUCCCGCCGGGCACGAACUGAUGAGCCAUGAAUAAGGAAAACAGCUCACGGGGGGCGGGGAGUUGUUUAAGCUGCAGUGCAGAGAUAGUGCACGUAAUUACAGAACUGCCACGUGAUAUUAUUCUAAAACUGUUCCAAAUAUUUUAUUCACUGGUUAAUUACACUCCAAACAUGGUUGCCUCUUGGUAUUAAUUCAUACACAUAAAGCAUAAGACUCACUCAUUAAAUUCCUGCUGCAGGGCAACAAUAGAAAGAUUAAUUCAGGGUCUUUUGUUGCACUUUUUCCCCCAGAUUCCUUCUGCAAAGACAAAAGCUGCUCAAAUUAAAACAGAUACUGGAACAUAAUGGAUUAAAAACUGGAGCCUUUGCUGCCUGAAAUUUGACUUAAAUUAUAAGCAUCAGUGGGAACUGUUGUUGUGAGUCAUUAUUGGCUGCUGUUUUAUUAGUACAAAAGUGCAGAUCCAGUUUAGUUGAGCUCCAUUUUGCCAAAGUCACCUAGUAGUAAUGUGCAGAGAGAUGGAACGUAAUGGACCAACAUUAAUACGACUAACAUUAAUGAAGUGUCCUUUGUGUGAAAUUGCUCUGACUGUUUUCCUGUUUUAUUGCUGACUGAACUUUAGAGAGAAUGAAUGUCCUGCCUCUGCUGCUGAUGGGAUUCACUGUCUGUGAAGAGACUACUCAGUAUUUUGGUAUCAGGAAUAUGAUUUGACAUUUUAGAUUUGUUUCCGGUGAGAAAUUGAUUUUAUAUAGUUACUUUGCUGUUGCUGCUCUAUAUAUAUAUAAAAAAUUAAAAAUGUUAGUCUGACAGCUAACCAAAUACACCCUUUAAAAAAAGAGGUAAGAAAUUAAUCAGAGAUAAGACAAGAAUAAUACCCAAGUGCUUUAUAGCUUACAUGAGUUAGUGAACUUUUGGUGAAAUACUACUUCAACAUUCAGUGUGUAAUAUUUAGGGGAAUCUGUUGACAGAAAUGUAAUAACUUCCAUAACUAUGUUUUCAGCCUUACAUAAUUAUGAGCCAUUUUUAUCUACUACUACAUCCUUAAAUAUAAUAACGGUGGUAGUAGUAGUCUAUUUAGUUUAUUAGAAGUUGUAUUAUUAUUAUUAUUAUUAUUAGUAUAAUAAUUAUUUUAUUUUUAUUAGAAGUUUAUUAUCUAGUUUAUUAGAAACAAGAAAAGAGAAAUUUGGACAACUGGAGGAUCACACGUAUUAUUUAGCCCAAGAGUCGACAGAUCGUGUCGGCUACCGUAGCUUCUCAUGCGCUUGGAAAGGGAGAGGUGACUGGUGACUUAUGAUUCAUGUGGUGUCAGAAUCACUUUUGCUUCUUAAAUCUUUAUAGCAAAAAGAGGAAUUUAAUAUACAUAUUUACAUUACAUAUUUUGCAAAUGUGUAAUUUGCUGUAUGGUUAUAACUGUGAGUUUGCUUUCCACGUAGAGUGAACUAGAUGUCUUGGUGUUUAAAUGCUCCGAUAAUCUAACAAAUCUUUGAAGCGUCCAUGUUGAUUCCACAUUCCAACUGGAGAGCACAUGAACAUGCACUGAAGUCGGAAAAACAACUUCACAACUUGGGAAAUGGGACCAUCAGAGGAGCGUGUGAAUGCACCGUGAGCCACUGGUUGCAAUUCACAACCCUCACCACUAGAUGUCACUAAAACUUACACACUAUACUGUUUGUUUUGUAUUACAUUCAUACUAUAUUCACAUAUACAUAUAUUUUAUAUUCAUCGUCACUUUUCUUAGGAGUAUCAAUAAACUGAGUCAAAAUUGCUUUUGCAUGGACAGUGUUAGAGCACAAAGUUUAUUUGUUUUAUUUUGGGGGGCUUUUAUUGUGCUGCUGUCACAUUUAAUUUCUGACCUUGGAGUCAAUAAAGUCUUGCUUCAUUA